CUGCACAUGAAUGCGUCUUCAGGCCGCCAAGGGCGUGUCUUUGUUGUAUCAAUUCCUGGCGAGGAGGACGUGGCCUGGGGUUACUGGAUAGGAGAUGUGGGGUUCUGAGGUCUACAGGACAGGCCUUCAUGUGAACCAGGAAACGAGGACACAGAGAAGGACGUCCAUCACGGACAGUGUGGUCCUGAAAGGGACAACAAAAACAUAGUGAGGUCCUGAAAGGGACAACAAAAACAUAGUGAGGUCCUGAAAGGGACAUCAAAAACAUAGUGUGGGGCAGGGAGAGAGAGAAAGAAAGAUUAGAUGUAUCCUGUUUUCGAUCAAUCAAAUAAAAUCCCAGUUUCCAAAUACUGUAAAUAAAGCAACAUAAAGUCAUUCUCCACAUGCAACGUGAAGGAGAAUCACAGCAUUAAUUAAACGUGAUCACCAACGUACAGACAAUUCAAAUAAUGCACGUCAUCUUCAGUGCCCCCUUGUGUCUGAAGAUCAGAUCUCAGGCUACAUACAUUCUCAACACAGCAGGAGAAAGCUUCAACCUCUCCCUGCCUUUUUUAACAGCUUUCUUGACAACACACCCAGCCACCCACCCAGCCACCCACACACACACCCAGUCACCCACACACACACCCAGUCACCCACACACACACCCAGUCACCCACACACACACCCAGUCACCCACACACACACCCAGUCACCCACACACACACCCAGUCACCCACCCACACACACACUUCUGUGAGGAUGAUAAAGAUUCUUUGAGCACACAGGACAUGGUCCUAUUGCUAUUUAAACAAGGGUCGUGCUGAGAUAAAAGCAGGCGGGACGGUCAAUACUAAACUGGUGGGGGGGUGGGGCUGCACACGCCACGCUACCCGCUGCACGCCAGCCAGGGGAAAUUACUCAGCCCACAGACUCAGUGCCAGGGACUAAUUCACUCCCUCUCUGGCCUUUAGAGAACAAACACCCAAAUGUAAUAAAAUACCCACUGACACACACACACACACACACACACACACACACACACACACACACACACACAGAGAGAGGACAUUUAUUUGUCUUGGAUUCCCGGCUACAUCUGAGACACCUAAACAAAGUUCACAUCGUCUUUCAUCUAUCCCUUAACGCACAUAAACACACAACCACAGAAGCAGGCAUGAACGCACACGCACACACACACACACUAGGGAGUCUGUGGAGAU
ensembl:lncRNA